UACAAGUGCAACCAUAAGUUUCCGCGUCCAACUUUGAUCGUUCGUCUUAUUUAAAUUUUUUUAUAAUUAGUAUUUUUAUUGUUAUGAGAUGAUAAAAUAUGAAUAGUACUUUACUCGUGACUUAUGUUUUUAAAUUUUUUUAAAAAAUUUUCAAAUAAGACGGACGGUCAAAGUUGGACGCGGAAAACUAUGGCUACACUUAUA
rfam:Oryza glaberrima chromosome 5 Oglab05_0112_4, whole genome shotgun sequence.